rnacentral:rRNA from 1 species
UUUUAUGGAGAGUUUGAUCCUGGCUCAGGAUGAACGCUGGCGGCGUGCCUAAUACAUGCAAGUCGAGCGAACAGACGAGAAGCUUGCUUCUCUGAUGUUAGCGGCGGACGGGUGAGUAACACGUGGAUAACCUACCUAUAAGACUGGGAUAACUUCGGGAAACCGGAGCUAAUACCGGAUAAUAUUUUGAACCGCAUGGUUCAAAAGUGAAAGACGGUCUUGCUGUCACUUAUAGAUGGAUCCGCGCUGCAUUAGCUAGUUGGUAAGGUAACGGCUUACCAAGGCAACGAUGCAUAGCCGACCUGAGAGGGUGAUCGGCCACACUGGAACUGAGACACGGUCCAGACUCCUACGGGAGGCAGCAGUAGGGAAUCUUCCGCAAUGGGCGAAAGCCUGACGGAGCAACGCCGCGUGAGUGAUGAAGGUCUUCGGAUCGUAAAACUCUGUUAUUAGGGAAGAACAUAUGUGUAAGUAACUGUGCACAUCUUGACGGUACCUAAUCAGAAAGCCACGGCUAACUACGUGCCAGCAGCCGCGGUAAUACGUAGGUGGCAAGCGUUAUCCGGAAUUAUUGGGCGUAAAGCGCGCGUAGGCGGUUUUUUAAGUCUGAUGUGAAAGCCCACGGCUCAACCGUGGAGGGUCAUUGGAAACUGGAAAACUUGAGUGCAGAAGAGGAAAGUGGAAUUCCAUGUGUAGCGGUGAAAUGCGCAGAGAUAUGGAGGAACACCAGUGGCGAAGGCGACUUUCUGGUCUGUAACUGACGCUGAUGUGCGAAAGCGUGGGGAUCAAACAGGAUUAGAUACCCUGGUAGUCCACGCCGUAAACGAUGAGUGCUAAGUGUUAGGGGGUUUCCGCCCCUUAGUGCUGCAGCUAACGCAUUAAGCACUCCGCCUGGGGAGUACGACCGCAAGGUUGAAACUCAAAGGAAUUGACGGGGACCCGCACAAGCGGUGGAGCAUGUGGUUUAAUUCGAAGCAACGCGAAGAACCUUACCAAAUCUUGACAUCCUUUGACAACUCUAGAGAUAGAGCCUUCCCCUUCGGGGGACAAAGUGACAGGUGGUGCAUGGUUGUCGUCAGCUCGUGUCGUGAGAUGUUGGGUUAAGUCCCGCAACGAGCGCAACCCUUAAGCUUAGUUGCCAUCAUUAAGUUGGGCACUCUAAGUUGACUGCCGGUGACAAACCGGAGGAAGGUGGGGAUGACGUCAAAUCAUCAUGCCCCUUAUGAUUUGGGCUACACACGUGCUACAAUGGACAAUACAAAGGGCAGCGAAACCGCGAGGUCAAGCAAAUCCCAUAAAGUUGUUCUCAGUUCGGAUUGUAGUCUGCAACUCGACUACAUGAAGCUGGAAUCGCUAGUAAUCGUAGAUCAGCAUGCUACGGUGAAUACGUUCCCGGGUCUUGUACACACCGCCCGUCACACCACGAGAGUUUGUAACACCCGAAGCCGGUGGAGUAACCUUUUAGGAGCUAGCCGUCGAAGGUGGGACAAAUGAUUGGGGUGAAGUCGUAACAAGGUAGCCGUAUCGGAAGGUGCGGCUGGAUCACCUCCUUUCUAA